CCGGAGGCUGAUUGCCUGCAUGGGCCACUCGUAAAGGGGCCAGCAGCUUCUCAGCUUCUAUGGAUGCUGCAGGUAUGUGCUAGCUGCCAGAGUGACUAGUGAGACACGCUGGUAAUGGGACAAAGAAUGAUGCUGACCCAUGAGCUUGCUGAGUACCCUGACAAUGAUGACAAGAAAGCUGUUUUGGACGUUUGUUUCUGAUACACAUUUGCUUGCCUAUAUCCCAGACUGGACAAUCUGCCUUGAUUGAAACUUUUAGACCUUGUUGGACAGAGAACAUGAAGACUGUACAGAACUUCAGAAUAUUAAUCAAAUAAAAGAAGCUAUAAUGACCCUUCUCUUUCCUUUAAUGUGACCAGUUAUUCUGACUUAAUGAUGGACUGUUCUGGAAAUCUAUCCAAUAUUAGAAAUAACAGUUUUCAUUUGGAAGAUGGGUUCUGGAUAUUUUCAGAGACAUUGAAAAAUUCACAAUUGUCUUGUAUGAAGUUCCAUUUGCAAUGGAUAAAAUUGAAACAGGAUCUAGAUUUUGAACAAAUGUUAGUGCAUGUAUUAAAACUCCUAAUCUUUUAUU
rnacentral:lncRNA from 1 species